UACGUAGGGUGCAAGCGUUGUCCGGAAUUAUUGGGCGUAAAGAGCUUGUAGGCGGUUUGUCGCGUCUGCUGUGAAAUUUCGGGGCUCAACCCCGAACUUGCAGUGGGUACGGGCAGACUAGAGUGUGGUAGGGGAGACUGGAAUUCCUGGUGUAGCGGUGAAAUGCGCAGAUAUCAGGAGGAACACCGAUGGCGAAGGCGGUCUCUGGGCCAGUAACUGACGCUGAGAAGCGAAAGCAUGGGGAGCGAACAGG
rnacentral:rRNA from 1 species